rnacentral:rRNA from 2 species
GCAGUCGAACGAACUCUGGUAUUGAUUGGUGCUUGCAUCAUGAUUUACAUUUGAGUGAGUGGCGAACUGGUGAGUAACACGUGGGAAACCUGCCCAGAAGCGGGGGAUAACACCUGGAAACAGAUGCUAAUACCGCAUAACAACUUGGACCGCAUGGUCCGAGCUUGAAAGAUGGCUUCGGCUAUCACUUUUGGAUGGUCCCGCGGCGUAUUAGCUAGAUGGUGGGGUAACGGCUCACCAUGGCAAUGAUACGUAGCCGACCUGAGAGGGUAAUCGGCCACAUUGGGACUGAGACACGGCCCAAACUCCUACGGGAGGCAGCAGUAGGGAAUCUUCCACAAUGGACGAAAGUCUGAUGGAGCAACGCCGCGUGAGUGAAGAAGGGUUUCGGCUCGUAAAACUCUGUUGUUAAAGAAGAACAUAUCUGAGAGUAACUGUUCAGGUAUUGACGGUAUUUAACCAGAAAGCCACGGCUAACUACGUGCCAGCAGCCGCGGUAAUACGUAGGUGGCAAGCGUUGUCCGGAUUUAUUGGGCGUAAAGCGAGCGCAGGCGGUUUUUUAAGUCUGAUGUGAAAGCCUUCGGCUCAACCGAAGAAGUGCAUCGGAAACUGGGAAACUUGAGUGCAGAAGAGGACAGUGGAACUCCAUGUGUAGCGGUGAAAUGCGUAGAUAUAUGGAAGAACACCAGUGGCGAAGGCGGCUGUCUGGUCUGUAACUGACGCUGAGGCUCGAAAGUAUGGGUAGCAAACAGGAUUAGAUACCCUGGUAGUCCAUACCGUAAACGAUGAAUGCUAAGUGUUGGAGGGUUUCCGCCCUUCAGUGCUGCAGCUAACGCAUUAAGCAUUCCGCCUGGGGAGUACGGCCGCAAGGCUGAAACUCAAAGGAAUUGACGGGGGCCCGCACAAGCGGUGGAGCAUGUGGUUUAAUUCGAAGCUACGCGAAGAACCUUACCAGGUCUUGACAUACUAUGCAAAUCUAAGAGAUUAGACGUUCCCUUCGGGGACAUGGAUACAGGUGGUGCAUGGUUGUCGUCAGCUCGUGUCGUGAGAUGUUGGGUUAAGUCCCGCAACGAGCGCAACCCUUAUUAUCAGUUGCCAGCAUUAAGUUGGGCACUCUGGUGAGACUGCCGGUGACAAACCGGAGGAAGGUGGGGAUGACGUCAAAUCAUCAUGCCCCUUAUGACCUGGGCUACACACGUGCUACAAUGGAUGGUACAACGAGUUGCGAACUCGCGAGAGUAAGCUAAUCUCUUAAAGCCAUUCUCAGUUCGGAUUGUAGGCUGCAACUCGCCUACAUGAAGUCGGAAUCGCUAGUAAUCGCGGAUCAGCAUGCCGCGGUGAAUACGUUCCCGGGCCUUGUACACACCGCCCGUCACACCAUGAGAGUUUGUAACACCCAAAGUCGGUGGGGUAACCUUUUAGGAACCAGCC